rnacentral:tRNA from 1 species
AAUUGUUUAGCGCAAUAGUAACGCGUUUAUCCUUUAAACGAAAAGGUUUUAAUUCGAUUUUAAAAAUGUUUU